rnacentral:sRNA from 1 species
GAUCAUUAUUGAAUGAACUUGGUGUGGUUGUCGCUGGCCCUCUUGGGGGCAUGUGCACACUCACCAUCCUCAUSUCUCCACCUGUGCACCUCUUGUAGACUUGGAUUGACUUUCCGAGGCCACUCGGUCGGGAGGUCUGCUGGCACUAGCUGGCUUUCCUUGCAUUUCCAGGUCUACGUUUUUCAUAUACCCCAAUUGUAUGUAACAGAAUGCAUCAUUAGGCCCUUGUGCCUAUAAACUUUAUACAACUUUCAGCAACGGAUCUCUUGGCUCUCGCAUCGAUGAAGAACGCAGCGAAAUGCGAUAAGUAAUGUGAAUUGCAGAAUUCAGUGAAUCAUCGAAUCUUUGAACGCACCUUGCGCUCCUUGGUAUUCCGAGGAGCAUGCCUGUUUGAGUGUCAUUAAAUUCUCAACCUUUAUCAGCUUUUGUUGAUAAUUGGCUUGGAUAUGGGGGUUUAUUUUUGCUGGCCAUCUUCACAGAUGGUCAGCUCCCCUUAAAUGCAUUAGCUGGUGCCCUGCGUGGACUGUCUAUUGGUGUGAUAAUUAUCUACGCCGUGGACAUCUGCAAUCAUAUGGGUUUGCACUGCUUCUAACCGUCUGUUCAUUCAGACAAUACAUGACAAUUUGACCUCAAAUCAGGUAGGACUACCCGCUGAACUUAAGCAUAUCAAUAAGCGGAGGAAAAGAAACUAACAAGGAUUCCCCUAGUAACUGCGAGUGAAGCGGGAAAAGCUCAAAUUUAAA